AAAGCUCAGAUGUUUGGGUACAGUAGGCCCAUUCCGACACAACAAGCCUACGCUCAAGCUGUGAUCCCAACAGAGAAGAAAGCGUUUCAGGUCUGAGCUGCUCUCAUCCAGUGAGCUACUGCCGUAUCAGCUCCGCUCCGAGGAAGUGGAAGUACUUGCUUUUAUUUAUUUUUAUCCUGUGGCAUCGAAAUGCCCCAGCUGAAAGUCUCUGGCAAAAUUGACUUGAAUUUGCAAAUAUGUUUGAGCUGCCCUGAAGUAUCAUUUAUGGAAGCACCUGGUAUUUUCCAAAAUAUGAUAUGAUGAUGAUGAUGAUAAAAGUAAUGAUAACAGCUGUUAUUGUUCAGGCUAAAGAAAAUGAUUUAUGCAGCACCAAGCAUAAGGGGGCCCCAUUCUCCACUGGCUGAGGCCUCUUCAUCUCCAGGGUACAGCGAUGAGUGCAGCAGGUGCAGGAAGGACAGCUGGAGAGCAAUGACACCAUUCCCCUGAUGGAUGCAAUCAUCUGUGGUGGUUAGGCUGCUUUGCGUGACAGGACCCUAAGUGAUGACCAAGAGAAGAGGAGAAGAUACAGAUGUAUGGGUGGAGUGGAGGAAGGAGGUCAGGCCGAGGGACUGCUGUGGUUUAAACACCUCCCAGUUGUGAAGAGGUCAUGGCUUCUCCUGCUUGUCUCACUGUUCCUUUCACAGAUAGUCUGGUGACUACAACCACCACCACCACGACCUUGCUAAGUAAAUAAGGUCCAUAACACCA